rnacentral:rRNA from 1 species
AUGAGCUCCUCGUCGCCCCAGCUCCGGCGCCUCAAGCCGGCGUACCAGUGCGUGGUGAACAACUUCCUCGCCGUGCUCGCCGUGCCGCUCGCCGUCGCGGGCGCCGUCGGCGCGGCGCGCGUCGGCCCGGAGGAGCUUCUCGCCAGGAUGCACGCGCUCCGGCCCGCGCACGUCUUCCUGGCCGCGUUCCUCCCGGCCGCCGCGGGGAUCCUGUACCUCAUGAUGCGGCCGCGCUCCGUGUACCUCGUCGACUACGCCUGCUUCCGCACCAAGCCCAGCCACCGCGUCCCGUUCGGCACGUUCCUCGAGCACGCCAAGCUGGUGACGUUCAUCGAGGGGGCCUCCAUUGACGAGCGCAGCGUCCGGUUCAUGACGCGGCUGCUGGAGCGGUCCGGGCUCGGGGAGGAGACGUGCCUGCCCCCCGCGCACCACUUCAUCCCGCCGUACCGGAACCUGGAGGCCUCGCGCGACGAAGUGGAGCUCGUCAUCUUCUCCGCCAUCGACGACCUGCUCGCCAAGACGGGCAUCCGCCCCGACGCCAUUGACUUGCUCGUCGUCAACUGCAGCCUCUUCGCGCCCAUCCCGUCCUUCACUGACAUGAUCAUCCGCAAGUACAAGAUGCGCAGCGACAUCCGCAACGUGCACCUCUCCGGGAUGGGGUGCAGCGCCGGGCUCGUCUCCGUGGGGCUGGCGCGCAACUUCCUGCAGGUGGCGCCGCGGGGCUCGCACGCGCUGGUGGUGUCCACGGAGACCAUCACGCCCAACUACUACGUCGGCAAGGAGCGCGCCAUGCUGCUGCCCAACUGCCUCUUCCGCAUGGGCGGCGCGGCGGCGCUGCUGUCCACAUCCCGCGCCAAGGCCCGCUUCCGGCUCUCCCGCGUGGUGCGCACGCUCACCGGCGCGCAGGACAACGCGUACCGGUGCGUGUACCAGGAGGAGGACGACGAGGGCCACCGGGGCAUCAACCUGAACAAGGACCUCAUGACCAUCGCCGGUGACGCGCUCAAGGCGAACAUCACGGCGAUCGGGCCGCUGGUCCUGCCCGCGUCGGAGCAGCUGCUCUUCGCGCUGUCCUUCAUCGCGCGGCGGGUGUUCAACAACAAGAGCAUCAAGCCGUACCUGCCCGACUUCCGCAUGGCGUUCGAGCACUUCUGCAUCCACGCGGGCGGGCGCGCCGUGAUCGACGAGCUGCAGAACAGCCUGGGGCUGUCGGACGAGCACGUGGAGGCGUCGCGCAUGGCGCUGCACCGGUUCGGCAACACGUCCAGCAGCUCGCUGUGGUACGAGCUGGCCUACAUCGAGGCCAAGGGGCGCAUGCGCAGGGGCGACCGCGUGUGGAUGAUCGGCUUCGGCUCCGGGUUCAAGUGCAACAGCGCGGCGUGGGAGUGCAUCGAGCCCGCGCGCGACGCGCAGGGCCCGUGGGCCGACUGCGUCAGCCGCUACCCGGUCGACAUUCCGGAGGUGCUCAAGCAUUAA